rnacentral:rRNA from 1 species
UGGGAAUAUUGCGCAAUGGGCGAAAGCCUGACGCAGCAACACCGCGUGAGGGAUGACGGCCUUCGGGUUGUAAACCUCUUUCAGCUCCGACGAAGCGAAAGUGACGGUAGGAGCAGAAGAAGCACCGGCUAACUACGUGCCAGCAGCCGCGGUAAUACGUAGGGUGCAAGCGUUGUCCGGAAUUAUUGGGCGUAAAGAGCUCGUAGGCGGUCCGUUGCGUCUGCCGUGAAAACCCGGAGCUCAACUCCGGGCCUGCGGUGGAUACGGGCGGACUAGAGUCCGGUAGGGGAGACUGGAAUUCCUGGUGUAGCGGUGGAAUGCGCAGAUAUCAGGAGGAACACCGGUGGCGAAGGCGGGUCUCUGGGCCGGAACUGACGCUGAGGAGCGAAAGCGUGGGGA